CAAAAUACAGAACUGUAAGAUGCAAAGGACCUGUAGGAUGAAAAAAUUAAAAUUAAAAAGCUAAAAAAUUUUUAAAGCCCUAACAUGACAUUAUGAGACAAAGAACCUCCAGGGAUGGCAUUGAGCUCAUUUUCUGCUGGCCAUCUAUUGCUGGGCAUGUGGCCUACCCUUAAGAGUCGUUUGUUUCCUCAGCAAGACUCACUUGGAGAAAACUAAACUUUCAUUGGCAAUUGGCUAUCAAUUGGAAAUAACUUCUGGGUUAGGGAUAAGUGUCCUCUUCUACUUUCAGCUCUAGGUCCCCAUCUGGUGCAGACCUAUAUGUGUAUGCUGCCUCAACCCCUGACUCUGUAUGUGUGUUGAUCCUCUGUGUUUCUAGGGCCUUGUUGCCUUGGUGUCCCCCAUCUCUUCUGGCUCCCACACUCUUUCUACCCCCUCUUCUACAAAGUUCACUGAACUGUGAAAGGAGGGAUUUGAUGGAGAUCUUCCAUUAGGACUGAGUAACUUGCUGCCUCAUUGGCCAGAUAGUACUUUAUUUAUCAUCCAAUAAGACAAACACAUACACAGAAGCACUUCCCCCAUCAUCUCCUCUUUUCUGUCUAAAUAAAAAGAAGGGUAACUUAUCUUUUAUAACUGAAGAAAACUAUAACCAUAACUAUCUGUCUUCAACUCCAUCAAAGACCACAGAAGGAUAAUACAUAAACUCUAGAACUGACAGAGACAUCUCACUGCCUGGACAGUCAUCCAAAGUUUCUCUGUAACAUUGGGGCAUCCAUCUUCAGCCCAUAGGCCACAGUGUGUCUGGCACACAUCUCCAUUUCAGCAGGAACCCUUCAGGACUGUUCAUCUUGUUUUGUAAGUUCAGCAGUCACUUCCUUGUGGGUCCUGUAAGUUCAGUUUAUAUAGCAACAAACAGUCCAGGCAAGAGCAGUUUCUUGCCCAAAUGGCCAAUUGCCAUGUUGAAAGCAAACUCCAUAAUGAGUUUUGUCGAUGCCCAUCCUCCUUUCUGACAUAAUUGGUGUGCCAGGAGCAGUUGUGUCUCACUGCCAAGAAAAACACUAAACCAUUUAAAUGCAAAAAUAUAUUCUAUAUAUUUGAAAGGUUUGAAGAAUAUCUAUCUCAAAUACAUCUUUGUAUAUCUAGAAAGCCUAACUAACCUAACUGUAAGUAUUGACUAUUAUAGGUGACAAUAUAAUCUGUAUUUAAUUAUUCACAUCACAAAAUUGACCUUAAAUUUGUAUCAAUAAAUGAAAAUACAUACCAAUAUAAAGUAGUCAUUUCUAUAUCCUAUUCACAGUCUCUCUUUGCAUAUUGUCUGGCUGUGGGUCUCUGUAUUUGCUCUUAUGUGCUACAAGAGGAGGCUUCUGGGGCUGGAGAGAUGGCUCAGAGGUUAAGAGCGCCGACUGCUCUUCCAGAGGUCUUGAGUUCAAUUCCCAGCAACCACAUGGUGGCUCACAACCAUCUAUUAUGAAAUUUGGUGCCCUCUUCUGGUGUGCAGAUAUACACAGAGGCAGAAUGUUGUAUACAUAAUAAAUAAAUAAAAUCUUAAAAAAAAGAGGCGGCUUCUGUGAUGAUGGCUGAGCAAGACACUAAUCUAUGAGUAUGGAAGAAAGUCAUUAGAAGUAAUUUCAUUGUUAAGCUCUUUAAGUAGAACAGUAGUUGUAUUUGGUUUUACCCUAGCUCUCUGAGCUAUCUUGGUUAACCAAGCAGCAUUGAACAUAGGUUGCAACCCAUGGAGUAGGACUUAAAUCAAAUCAUAUUGUUGGUGCUAUGGAACACUGUGAAAAUGUAAUGUUCUUGUUAAUAAAAAGUUGAUUGACCAAUGGCUAGGCAGGAUUUUCAGGGCAGAAAGAAUGAUGGGAAAAAGGACAGAGUCAGAGGAGUCUCAAGCCAGACACAGAAGAAGCAACAUGGGAAAUUCACAGUUGAGGUAAAUGAGCCUUGGAGCAGCACAUAGAUUAAUAAAAAUGGGUAGUUCAAGUUGUAAGAGCUGGCUGGAGACAAGCCCAAGUUAUCAGCUGAGCAUUAAUAAGUGUCUGUGUAGUUUUGGGGAGUGACUGCUGGGACACAAAGAAACUCUACCUACAAGUUGGUUAUUUGUACAAGCUUUGUGUGCCAUUGCACAAGACAGAUUGAAUGGUUUGUAACUGAGUUGGUGUUUACAGAGUAGUGUGCAGAAUGUCUUCUAGUACCAAGAACACUAGCACACAGGAGUGAAGGCUCUAGGUAGGCACCAGCUUGACUUUUCCAUGUUCUAUGAGUUGUGUAGCUGUUGUCUUUAGCAAUAGGUCCUUUCUGUCAGUUUGUGGAGAGCAACCUAUAUCCUAGGCAAUAGCCUGACUGUUUGGGGGUUCCCAUGCAUGGUGCUUUGUGUGAAAACGGCCCCCAUAGGCUCGUAGGGAGCAGCACUCUUAUGAGGUAAGGUCUUAUUGUAACAGGAGUUGUGUUGUUGGAGGAAGUGUGUCACUGGGGGUGGGCUCUGAGGUCUCAGAUGCUCAAACAAAGUUAGUAGGGCAUUCUCUCUUCCUGCUGUCUGCCAAUCUGGAUGUAUAAGCCCACAUCAGUCAGACACCAGGCAGGUGAGUAACCUGCCUGCCAUUGGACUAUCCCACGCCCUAGACUCCAUUCUUUCAAGACGCAUUCCACCUCCCAAGCCCUUCCACCAUAUCACCCUCCCCAUGGCUAGCCCUUCCCCCAACUCCAACUCCGGCAGACUUCAUUGGCUCAGGUACAGUCACACCAGUCGGAAAAACAGACCACGCCAGUCAGAAGAACAGAGAACUCUUGUCUGCAUCAACAGCCAUGCUAACCACCAGAAGGUCAGGGCCCAACUUGGACAGAGACUCCUUACUAGAUGAGAGAUGGUCACACCGGCCACUAGAAAUCCAGGCCACAAAGACUAGAAGACCAAAAAGGAAGCAGAAACCAAGGAAAAAGCACCCAUCCAACAAAGACAAACUCAGAAAUCACUACCUAAACCUAUAAUCAUCCCAAAACAAGAUCUAAGCACUAGUGUAAGGAUGAAGGCAACAAAGCAAGGGCAAUAUGGAGCCACCAGACACCAGCUAUCUUACAACAGCAAGACCUGAAGAUUCCAAGACAGUGAAGCACAAGAGAACAACCUUAAAAGCAACUUCAUGAAGAUGAGGGGACCUUAAAGAGAAAAUGAAAAACUCCCCUUAAAGAAAUUGAGGAAAAGAGUCAAUGUUGGUGGUGCACGCCUUUAAUCCCAGCACUGGGGAGGCAGAGGCAGGCGGAUCUCUGUGAGUUCGAGGCCAGCCUGGUCUCCAGAGCAAGUGCCAGGAUAAGCUCCAAAGCUACACAGAGAAACCCUAUCUCAAAAAAACAAAAAAAGAAAGAAAAGAAAAAAAGAAAUUGAGGAAAAGGCAUCCAAAAAUUAGAGGAAUUCAAUUAAUCCCUUGAAGAGCACCAAGAUAACCAAGAAAAGUCAAACAGGCAAAGGAAACUGUUCAAGACCUGAAAAUCAAAACAGAAGCAAUAAAGACACCACAAAGUGAGGGAAUUCUGGAAAUGUAAAAUCUAGGUAACCAGACAGGAACUAUAGAUGCAAGCAAGCAUCACCAACAGAAUACAAGAGAUGAAAGAGAGACUCUCAGAUGUUGAAGAUACAAUAGAAGAAAUAAGAUUCAUCAGUCAAAGAAAAUGUUAAAUCUAAAAAAUUCUUAACACAAAACAUCCAGGAAAUAUAGGCCACUAUGAAAAAAAACAAACCUAAGAAUAGGAAUAGGAGAAGGAGGAGAAUCCUAGCUCAAAACCCAGAGAAUAUAUUUAAUAAAAUCAUAGAAGAAAAUUUUCCUAACCAAAAGAAGGACAUGCCUAUAAAGGUAUAAGAAGCUUCCAGAACACCAAAUAAAGUGUGUCAGAAAAUAAAUUCCCUGUGCCACAUAACCAAAACAUUAAAUAUACAAAACAAAGAAAGAAUAUUAAAAGCUGCAAGAAAAAAAAGGCCAAGUAAUAUAUAAAGGCAGACCUAUUAGAAUCACACCUGACUUCUCAGUGGAGACACUAAAAGCCAGAAGGGCCUGAACUGAUGUCUUACAGACUCUAAGAGACCAUGGAUGUCAGCCCAGACUAGUAUACUCAGAAAAAAACUUUCAAUCAUCAUAGAUGGAGAAACAAGAUACUUCAUGACAAAGUCAAAUUUAAACAAUAUCUAUCCACAAAUCUAGCCCUAAAGAAGGUACUAGAAGGAAAACUCCAACCCAAGGAAGUUAGCUACACCCACAUAAACAUAGGCAAUACAUAAUCUCACACCAACAAAACCCAAAAAGAGAAACACACACACACACACACACACACACACACACACACACACACACACACACACUAAUACCCCACCAUCAACAACAACAACAACAACGAAACAGGAAUUAACAAUCACUGGUGAUUAAUGUCUCUCAAUACCAAUGGACUUAAUUAAACCAAUAAAAAGACACAGGCUAACAAAAUGGAUACAAAAACAGGAUCCAUCCUGCUGCAUACAAGAAAUGCACCUCAACAUCAAAGAUAGACAUUACCUCAGAGUAAAGGGUUAGAAAAAGAUUUUCCAGUCACACAGACUUGAGAAGCAAACUGGUAUAACUAUCCUAAUAUCUAACAAAAUAGACUUCAAACCAAAAUCAAUCAAAAGAAACAAAGAAGGGCAUUUCAUACUUAUCAUCAAAGGAAAACUCCACCAAGAUGUUGUUUCAAUUCUGAACAUUUAUGCCCCAAAUGAAAGGGUACCACAUUUGUAAAAGAAACAUUACAAAAGCUUCAAUCACACAUCAGCCCCACACACUAGUUGUGGGUGACUUAAACACCCCACUCUCAUCAAUGGACAGUUCACCCAGACAGGAACUAAACAGAGAAAUAACAGAACAGACAUUACAACUCAAAUGUACCUAACAGCUAUCUACAUAACAUUUCAACCAAACAUAAGAGAAUAUACCUUCUUUUCAGCACUUUAUGGAACCUUCUCCAAAAUUGACCAUAUACUCAGUCACAAAGCAAGUCUCAACAGAUUAAAAAAAAUAAUUGAAAUAAACCCUGAAUAUUAUCAGAUCACAAUGGAUUAAAGCUGGAGUACAACAACAGCACAAACUAGAGAAAGCCUACAAAGUCAUGGAAACUGAACAACUCUCAACUGAAUUACCGCUGGGUCAAGGAAGAAAUAAAGAAAGAAAUUAAGGACUUCUUAGGAUUCAAUGAAAAUGGAUGCACAACAUAACCAAACUUAUGGGAUGCAAUGACUUAACAGCACAUCUGAAAGCUCUAGGAGAAAAGAAGCAAACAUACCCAUGAGGAGUAUACAGCAGGAAAUAUCAAACUGAGGGCUGAAAUCAAUCAAAUAGAAACAAAGAAAACAAUACAAAGAAUCAAAGAGUUGAUUCUUUGAGAAAAUCAACAAGAUAGACAAACCCUUAUCCAAACACCACAGAGAGAGAACAUCCCAAUUUUAAAAAAAUCAGAAAUGAAAAGGAGGAUACAAUAACAGGCACUGAGGAAAUCCAGAGAGUCCUUACAGCAUACCACAAAAUUGGAAAAUAUAAAAGAAAUGGACAAAUUUCUUGAUAGAUACCACAUAGCAAAAUUAAAUAAAGAUCAGAUAAAUAAUGUAAAUAGACCUAUAACCGCUAAAGAAAUAGAAGCAGUCAUUAAAAGUAUCUCCACAACAACAACAAAGCCCAGGUCCAGAUGGUUUUAAUGCAGAAUUUUACCAGACUUCCAAAGAAGAGUUAAUACCAACAGUCCUCAAAUUAUUCUACAAAAAGGAACAUUGCCAACAUGUUUAAUGAGGCCACAAUGUAUACAAACCACACAAAGACUUAACAGAGAAAGAAAAUUACACAUCAGUUUCCCUCAUGAACAUUGAUACAAAAAUAUUCAAUGAAAUACUCACAAACUGAAUCCAAGAACAUAUCAAAACAUAUCAAGAACAUGAAGCAUCAUGACCAAGUAUGCUUCAUCUCAGAGAUGCAGGGAAAGUUUAACAUAUGAAAAUCCAUCAAUGUAAUCCACCUUAUAAACAAACUGAAAGAAAAAAAACACAUAACCAUCUUAUUAGAUGCCAAAAAAAGCCUUUGACAAAAUCUAACACCCCUUAGUGAUAAAAGUCUUGGAGAGAUCAGGCACACAGGACGUAGUAGGGAAGGACUUUGAGUGUGGUGGUCUCUUUUUGUUUUGGUCGAGCAGAAGGGUGCUCUCUUGCUGAGACCCUGGUGAAGAGGGAAAGUCAGUUACUUGCUCCUCAACCUCUCUGAGCUAGCAGAUGUUCACUCCAGGCUCUGACUCCUGAGUCUUACUGAGAAAUAAAACGAUAGAGAUUUAGUUAAAACUACAUUUGGCAGCAGGGGCAGGAAUCAGAUCUGGCUGGAUGUAAAAAUCCCAUUGGGCCACUACCAGAAAAAAGGGACAGUAACUGUGUAGCUGCAAUUAUUGGCUGAAACAGCAGUAGAUUCAGGUGCAUCUGCUGAGCCAUACAUAAAACAACAGGAAUGAAGAAGAAUGUAAAUAGAUCCAUUUCUAUCACCCUGAACAGAACUCAAGUCCAAGUAGAUCAAAGACCUCAACAUAAAACCAGACACACUGAACAUGACAGAAGAGAAAGCGGGGUAUACCCUUGAACAUAUUAGCACAACUUCCUGGAUAGAACACCAAUAGCAUAGACACUAAGAUUAACAAUUAAUAACUAGGACCUCAUGAAAUGGAAAAGCUUCUGAAAAGGAAUGCGCACCAUCAAUAGGACAAAACAGCAGCCUACACAAUGGGAAAUGAUCUUCACCAACCCCACAUCAGACACACACACACACACACACACACACACACACACACACACCAAAUAUAUCAAGAACUCAAAAUAUAUGAAAUCUACAUUUUUCCAAAUAUAUAAACAACUCAGACACUAGACAUCAAAAGACCAAAUAAUCCAAUUUAAAAAUGGGGUAUGGGAGCUGGGCAGUGGUGGUACACACCUUUAAUCCUAGCACUUGGGAGGCAGAGACAGGCAGAUCUCUGUGAGACCAGCCUGGUCUAUAAGAGCGAGUGCCAGGACAGCCUCCAAAGCCACAGAGAAACCCUGCCUCAAAAAAUUAAAAAAAAAUAGGGUAUGGAUCUAUCCAGAGAAUUCUCAACAGAAGAAUCUCAAAUGGCUGAGAAACAUUUAAAGAAAUGUUCAACAUCCUUAGCCAUCAGGGAAUGCAAAUUAAAUGACUCUGAGAUUCUAUCUUAAACCUGUCAGAACAAAAAAUACAAGUGAUUGCUUAUUCUGGAGAGGUUGUUGAGCAAGGGGAACACUCCUCCAUUGCUGGUAGAGUGGAAACUUUUACAGCCACUUUGGAAAUCAACAUGGUGGUUUCUCAGAAAAUUGAGAACUGAACUAUCUCAAGACCCAGCUAUAUCAUUCUUGGGUAUAUACCCAAGGAUGCCCAAUCACACCACAAGGAUACUUGAUCAGCUAUGUUUCCAGCAGCUUUAUUCAUAAUAGCCAGAACCUGAAAAUAACCUAGAAGUCCUCAGCCAAAAACAGAUAAAGAAAAUGUGGUACAUUUACACAGUAUAGUAUUACUUGGCUGUUGAAAACAAUGACAUCAUGAAAUUUGAAGGUAAAUAGAUGGGACUAGAAAAAAAUCAUCUUUAGUGAGCAACCUAGACCCAGAGACAAACAUGGUAUGUACUCACUUAUAAGUGAAUAUUAGCCAUAAAGUAAAGGAUAAUCAUGCUACAAUCCACAGACCCAGAGAGGCUAGGUAAGAAGGAGGACUCAAAUGGAGACUUGGUUCUCAAUGGGAAGGGGAAAUGGAAAAGGUUUUGUUGGUGUACUGGGGGCAGAUGGGGGAAGAAACAUGAGGGAUCAAGUUGGGGGGAUAAAGGGGAAGAGUACUGAAAGAGGCAACUGGAAAGGGGAGCACCUUCAGGGUCAGAUAGAAAGCUGAUGUAAGAGAAACUCCCUGGAACCUACAAGGAUGAACCUAGCUAAGACUUCUAGCAAUAGUGGAUAUGUAGACUGAACUGGCCAUGAACUUGUCCUAUGACCAGACAAGACUUCCAUUGGAGGAACUGGGAUACCAACCCAGCCAUAUAACCUUCAACCUACAGUUCAACCUACCUAUAAGAUAUGCUGGGGUAAGCAUGGAACAGAGAUUGUGGGAGUGGCCAACCAAUGGUUGGUACAUCCUGAGACCCAUGCUAUGAGAGUGAGCCUACCCCUGACAUUGCCUGGAACACCAGGACCCAGAGGCUGGAUGGCCCAGAGAUAUAGGAAAGAACCAAACAAGAAUGGAGAAAAAAUGUUAAUGUAAUGAUGACUAAUGAUAUUCUGUUAUACUUAUGGAUUGGUGCCUACCUCAAUUGUCAUAGGAGCUCACAGAGUCUGAACUGACAAUCAGAGAGCCUGCAUGGGACUGGCCUAGGCCCUCCACAUAUAUGUGACAGUUGUGUAGCUUGUUCUUCUUGAAGAACUCUUAACAGUGGGAGCAGUGGCUGUCUCUAACUCUUUGAAUGGCUUUUGGGAACCUAGUCCUCAUACUGUGUUGCCUUGCCCAGACUUAAUACAAGGGGUGGGGGGGUACUUAGUCUUAACACAACUGGAUAUGCCAUGUUUUGUUGACAUCCAUGGGCGGCCUGAAAAGAAAUGGAGGAGGGGUGGAUGGGGGCGGACAGCAAAGGAGAAAAGAGGGAAAUGGGAGGAGAAGAGGGAGGGGAAACUAUAGCUGAGAUGUAAAAUAAAUAAAUUUAACUAAAAAUAAAAAUAAGAGUUGCUAUGGUCAUGGAAUCUCUUCACAGCAAUAGAAACCUUAACUAACAUAGACGUUAGUUAAGUACCAAGUAUGUUGGUACCAGGAGUGGGGUAGUGCUAUAAUAGGCCUGACCAUGCUUUUGUUGGAGGAAUAUGGAAUAAUUUGGGACUUUGGACUAAAAAAAAAAAGACAUUUUAAGUGGGGCUUAGUGGGCCAUUAUAGUAGAAGCAUGGAAGACAGUGUUAUUGAGGGUGAUUUGAACUGUGGGGAUCCAUCUAAAGAGGUUUCAGAGAGGAAAAAAAUGUAUGUGUCUAGAGACUGUUCUUGAGAUAUUUUGAUAAAGAUAUUUUGCUUUUACCCUCGUCCAAAAAGUGUGCUUAUGCUAAAUUGAAGAUCUUUGGAUUAAUUGAGUUUUCAGAGGAAAUCUUAAAACAGUUUAGUAUUGACUCUGUUCUGUGUUUAUUGGUGUUCACUAUUAGCAAAUUUAUAAUGAAAAGGAGAAAGUUGAGAAAGGAAAAAUACAAAAUGCACAAUCUGAGGAGAUAGGGGGUACCAGGAAGUGUAAACAGAUUAAAGAAGGGACUGAUGCUAAGUGGAAAAAAGGUAUGGUGUCCUCUGAGCAAGAAUCCACCCAGCUAAACUUUCAGCUUGUGAAAAGAAAUUAAAGAAAUGGAAAAAUGUAUUAAAGAAAAGAUUAGGGUCAGGCAUUGUAGUGCACACCUUUAUUCCCAGCACUCAAAACGUAGAUACAUUCAGAUCUCUUGUGUUCAAGGCCAGUCUGAUCUACAGAGUAAGUUCCAGUACAGCCAAGCUUAGGCAAUGAAGGAAACCAUCAAAACAGAAAUCUGAUGAAGGUGUAAUUGAAUAAAAGGACCAUGUCCCAGGCCCAGCAAGCAGAACUUGGCAGCUUUGGUCACAUGGUUAUGGAUUUAGAGUCAAUGAUACAAGAAAGGGAUUAAAGAGUCUCCUUCUAAGGGGUGUCCCUGUGUGGAGACCUGGAGAGGCCAUUACAUGAAGCUGCAAAUGUGGUCUGGAUUGCUUUGGAGACCCCAAGAUGUUGGAGAUGCUGAAGUUAUGGAAUAACCACCAAGGAAAGCAGUUAACCAGUCCAUGAAAAGGAAGGUGUGUUUCAGUCAACAAAACUGAAAGGAGUUGGAUAUAUGAAGAGCAUUUGGACAUCAAACACAGAAAUGAAGAGUUUGGAGUUUGCCCAGUUGAUUUUCAGUCUUGCUUUGGUCCAAUAUUUCCUCACUACAUUAUCUUUCCUUCCUUUUGGUAUGGUAAUGUAUAUCCUGCCUCAGUAUAUGUUGGAUGUAAAUUAUUUUCUUUUUGUAUUUUGAUUUUAUGGGGGAAUUACUCUUAAAGUAUUACCAUGAGUCUCAGAAGAAACUGGACUUUUAAGCAGAGUUGAGACUGUUAUAGACUAUGGGGACUUUUGAAUUUGGACUGAAUGCAUCUCUUCAUUAUCAUAUGGCUAUAAGCCUAUGGGGGACAUGGAGUAAAACAUGAUGCUUUAAGUAAAAAUGGUCCCUAUAGGUUCCUAGGGAAUGCCACUAUUAGGAGUUGUGACUUUAUUGGAGUAGGUGUGGUAUUAUUGGAGGAGGUGUGUCACAGAGGGUGGGCUUUGGGGUCUCAGAUGCUAAGCCAAGCUCUUCCUGAUGUUUGUGGAUUUGGAUACAGAACUCACAUCUACCUCUCCAGCACCAUGUUUGCCUGCAUGCUACCAUACUUCCCACCAUGAAACCUCUGAACUGUAAGCCAACCCCAGUUAAACGCUUUCCUUUAUAUGAGUUGCCGUGGUCAUGCUACCUCUUCAUAGAAAUAGAAACCCUAAGUAAGACACCAUGGGAAUCCUUUGGCCAACUCAACUAAAUGUAACCCAUUCCUGGUAUUGGAAAUUUCAUUUGGUGACAAGAGAUGUCCCGCUGGAGCUCUGCCUCCCUCUUAAUUUAGCCAUUUCAUUUGGAUUGCCUUCAUAUAUGUGUAUAUGUUAUGAAUCUUCUACUGUAUUGUUUCUUUCAGUCCUUCAAAUAGCCCUUAAUUUUAGCUGUCUUUCCCCACUCUUCCCUUAUCCCUCACACUUCGUCCCCCUUCUCCACUGGAUCCUCCAGCUCCAUUCCCCCCACUGCUGUUUGAUCUUCCAAUUCCAGAUAAGUGAAUACAUACCAUAUUUGAUACCACAUUUAUCUUUCUGGGUCUGGGUCACCUCACCAAGAUUAUUUUUUUCCUGUUUCAUCUAUGAUCUCAUUUUUCUUUACAAUGCAUAGUAUUCCACAGUGAAUAUGUGCCACAUUUUCAUUAUCCAUUUAUCAACUGAAGUAUAUUUGGGUUAUAUCCAUUUCCUACCUAAAUAGGCUGAGCAAGUCUCUAUGAAGUACAUCUGGCCUAGAGUUUGGAAUGUAGAUCUGACUGGCCUCAAACUCAAAGAAACCUGCUUGGCUCUGCCUCCUAAGUGCUUAGAUUAAAGGUGUAAGCCCCAUGUCUGGCCAUCUUUUCACUGGUUUAUGGUAUGCAAUACUUUCGAGUAUGGUUUUACUCUGCAUUAAAAAUAUUUUAUAUAAGUAUAUAGAUUUAAAAAUAAUCUAGUGCCAUUCAGACAAAAGCACUUAAUUGUCUUUAUAUAAAAAUUGCAUUUAUAAACCGUGCCAUUGGGCGUGACUACAACAUAUUUUUGCUGAAUAAAUGAAUGAUGCUUUAGUGGGUGUUUGCUAAAGGUUCUGAGAAUAAUAACCCAUAUUCCUUUCUAGGUUUGAUUUCUAAUGGGAGCUAGCUUUGGUUUUUAUUUUGCUUUGUUUUUCUACCCAAGUUUGCUUUGAAUCACCGAAAUGAUUCAUAACACUAAAAACAAGUUGAACCUGAAAUUACCCUGCCGGAAAUGAGUUAAGGAUUAGAGAUCAAGUGAAAGGGAGGGGCUUGAGAGAAAUCAAGAGAACUCUUCUACAUUUGUGGUGAGACAGGAGGAAAUGCCAACAGCAGUUUUUGUUCUCAUUACUCCAAUUACAUUGUUUUAAAUAGUUGAAUCAAAUGCAAAGUACAGAGUAAUUCAGUCUCCAGGAUCCAAAAGGCACUUUUCCCAGGUGUGGCUGGCCUCUCCACUCCACCCCCAGAUGAGUCACUAUACAGAUGAGUCACUAUACAGAGAUUAGAGAGAGAGACCGACCCAUCCUUGACCCCUCCCACACCCAUACACAAAAUCAUUGUAACAGGUGGGGAGAGGUGAAUGGAUGGAUCACCACUGGAGGGGAAGGGACUUUCUCUCAGCCAGCCCUGCUGGAAUCCUUUAACUGGAAAGAGAAAGGGGAACAAGAAUCAGGGAACCUUGGCAAAGGGCUCUGAGUCAGGUAAGGAGGUGAUUUGAAAACAUCCUUAAAGAAAAGCAUGGUCACAGGACCCUGCUAUCAGGGUCUUCUCUGCAAUCCAAGUUUCUGGUGACAUCUGUCACUUCCCUAAGAAGCCCAUGACCUUUUCCUUCCUGUUUCUCUAUGAAUGAUGGCACAUCCGGAAGCUCAUAAAAGUGGCUUAUCUAGGAAAGCAAACAGCUCACUCUGAAAAAAAGAUAAUAGUUCAACAGGAGGGGAGUAGUUCCAGCUUUUGCUGUUAGCUAAAGGAGGGUUCUGGUCCCUGCCCUAUGGUGUGGGUAAGAUGUCCCACCCAUGACCUCAUGUUUUAGAGAGUGAACUCUUCCUACCCUAUGCCACACACUAAGUACUCUUCCUUCUGAAUCUCACUCCAGGUACCCAAGAUUCUUCCUCUCAAAUGACCAUGAACUCUCUUCUGGUUCAGUAUUACAUUUUUAUCUAUCUUCUCUGUGUGCUGCUGGAGUACCUGCUGUAUCUGCACUAGAGAGAAUAUAAGGAGCUCAGCGAGUCUGAGAUCUGAUGAAGAACAAUGCAGUCUGGAGAUGCAAUCCAGGGUUUGAUGGAUGGCCCCUUCAGUACCAGUGUUGGUAGAGGUAUCAACACACUUGCACCCCUGGCGAUUGUACUCCCCACCCUGACCCUUACCUGCAGUCACUGAUUCUACCAGCACGGACUCUCCUUGUCCUUUGCAGCACUGGCUCCUUGAGAAAAGAUGGCUAUCUGGACAGUGGACUCCAUGUUGUCAUUGGAAUUAAGGCAUCACUUUAUGUUUCUGUUCUGCACAGUUCCACUCAUUUCCUCUGAUUGGCAAGGUGAGGUAUCAUCUCUUCCAAGAUACUCAUUCAUAAGAGCCUGUCAUAUCGUUCUUGUCUGAAUCUUCUUGUACUCACUUGUUCACAAGCACUGUAAGAGUAGGAGUAUCUACCCUGAGGAUGGGUGUAUCUCUAACUCUAGAACUAAGUCCCACAGUAUUCUGAGUGUUCUGUAAGUGUUCCUUAGCUGAGUAAAGCAUCAGGAGUUUAGAAUGCAGUGUAGCUCACUGUUAAGAGUACUAGUCUAGCAUGUACAGGGCCAUAAGUUCAGCUAUACUGACACUAAAGUAGGAGAAAGUUCAGGACAAUUGUGCAGGCAUCCUAUCAGCACAAUAGUGGGUAUACACUUGCCUUCUUUUCAAGACCUUUCUUAUCUGCCCAGCCCCACAAUCUCAUUGUGGCCAAUGAGAAACCCACUCAUCACCUCAAAUGAUCCAGUCAAGAAAAUCCCUAACUGGUCCACCCAGUUGCUUGGGUUUCAGUUGAUUCAAGAUGUAGUCAAGUUGACAACCAAGAUUAGUCAUCAUUGAAAGGUAAAACAUUUUAUCAGUGACAAAAAUGUAUUUUGUAUUGUCUAUAUAGUGUAGUGGGAUUGAACUAUAAAUUUAUUAUUGAUUUCAGCUCAGAGCGUGGCACAUGUCACAUAGAAAGUGCUUGACUAAUGAUAAGUGAGUAUGGGCAUGAUAAUUGUGAUAUAAAUGUGGAGACGAUAAAAUUGAGGAUAUUUCUACAAACAUGCUAUCUAUCUGUGGAUCCUUGUCUUCCCAGUGAAAAUGUUUAUAUGAUAAAUUACUUAAUAAUCAUCACUUCCUUUAGUUACCUAGCAACAGAGUUAAAGAGCUUUA
ensembl:lncRNA